CGACGAUCUCAUAGUCCGUUGGCCGCGUGCAUCCAUCCAAGAUGGGCCUGAAACUGAUCUCGCUUUUGUUUCUGGUUACUGGUGUAACUUUGUGUCAUGGGUGGUCAGGAAAUGUCUGUUAUCGCAGAGUUGUUACAUACCAUAACGUAAGAGUGUGUGCUUAUUGGACUUGGCUUGGGUGCUGUUAUCGGCCAUACAGGUGGGUAGCGAGAUACCACUACGAAGCCUACUGCUGUCCUGGGUGGACCUAUCUGUCCUAUUAUAGGAAAGACUGCGUCAAAGCCAUCUGUCGUCCAAACUGCAAAAACGGAGGACACUGUGACAGACCCGGUCACUGUAACUGCCGCUCUGGUUAUGACGGAUACAGAUGUGAUGGACUGCAAUGUUCACACCGGACAGCGUGUUACCCUGGCAUGUGUGAACGGAAUCCGGACAGAACCACCACUACCUGUACCUGUGAGGAUGGAUUCGGCGGACCUAAGUGUAUCAACAUGCCAGCAAAAUCAGCACCUGAUAUCAACACCAUUCAGGCUAGAAUGUCAUUUUGGAUGAGAGGAAUAACCAAUCCGAUGGAAAAAUACUCCCUCUUGGUGGAUUCGACCAAUAAGAAGGAGACUGAUUUCUUAUGGACCAAUCGAGCUCAGUUUAACUGGAUCAACAUCACAGCUGUCAGUCAGUACAUGGGAGAUGAUCUCCCGCCAAAACCAGCUUGGAUAAAAGAAGCCAAAUUCGGCAUAAUAGACGCUGAAGUGAACAUCCGGUUAACUAAACUGUCCUAUCAAGAUACUAGCAAAUUUGUUAGCAAAGAUGAAACUCUGAAGUGUAACCGGACCUUUACAUCUUUGAAUAUUGGUACACGAUCACCUGCCCCGGAUGUCGUAAACUGCAGUAUCAGUCUUCCAAACUUUGACAGGCAGCUGGAAAAUGGCGACAGACUGACCGUGACCUUCACAACUAAAAGUGGCGGAUAUCGUAGACUGGUGGAUACAAAACAUCCUUACUGGACAUAUGAGACACACGAUUUUAACGGACAUGUUAAAGUUAAGGAUGUUGAGUUCCGGUUUGAUACAGCUAAACCAAAACACUGUAGACUUAAAAAUCCGUCCUGUACAGAUGAAAUAUUUAGUGUGGAUAAUGACAUACAUGUCACAAACACUCCAAUUAUUUUGAAUUGGAAUGGCUGGACUGACACUCUGUCUGGAAUGUUCCGCUACGCUUGGGAAGUCUUCAAAUUGGUGCCAGACAUUAGCGGUAAACUGCACGAGCAAUAUCCACUGAAACCCUUGAAGAUAACGGAAGUGAUGCACGCAAACCUUAGUAGCGUGACGCCGUCUUUUCAUCCUUCUGAACCCGGGAUGUAUUCUUUCAUCCUAGAAGCAUCAGAUAUGGCAAACAACUCUGUCUUUAUCAGACGCUUAUGUCUGUAUGACCCAUCAUCUGAAAUCACCUUCAAUUCCAUUGCGCUAAAAAUAGAUUCCGCUAGAGGAUUCGACAAAGAUGUCUGGAGUUCUGACGUAACCAAUCCACUGGUCGUUAACUGGAAAGAUCAUUUUGUUAACAAGAUUCACGAAGACAACAAACUUCUUAACCUUGUGAAAGUGUAUCCACAGCAACUGGAAGAUGGCCUGAAGAAAAUUACGGAUGAUGACAAUUAUGGAGCAAGAACAGUAGCAGCCAUCGACAACAGCCGCGGCAUUGUCAAGUUCGAGAUUGCCCACGCAAAGGACAGUAAAGGAGGACAAGGACAACACGAGCCGACGACUGGAUGGAGAACUUUAAGUUCUUCAACUCUGAGCACAACUGUCAGUCCCAAUAAUCCAAGUCGAGGAGACACCGUCAGUAUCUGGGUUCGAGCAACGGACAUCACAGAUCGAAGUAAGACAGACGUGAUCCGGGUUCAUUAUGAUGAUUCACCACCAAGCGCAUUAAAAACAGUAAAGUUUAAAAGAAAUGUUCCAGGCACUUACCCAUUUGGAUCGAAAGUUAAUUUGACCAUGUUUGACAUGGACAGUGGGAUUUAUCAAGUUAACAUGACAACCGUGCGACUGAAGUCAGCUACUAAUAUGAUGUCUCAUUCCUACAAAAUUCCGACAAUACCAAAGUCAGAAUGUCAAGAUUUUUUAGAAGACAACUGUUUCUGCUCGAGUGACCAGCCAGACAUGUGUCAAAGGAAAACUCAAGUUCUAGAUAUCGACAACUGCUGGCUGAUGGUUGAUAAAGAUGGACUCAAAUCCGAGACCGUUGAAUUGCACUUUACGAUAUUUAAUAAUGCGCUUCUCUCGGUCACUCGCAAAGUCCAGGUUUCAAAUCUGUUGAGCCUGAAUGGCACAGAAUCUUUCCUGGGUCCUAUGCGUAUUCGUAAUGAAAGUGUCACCCAGACUGGAGCUAGGAUCAGGUGGGACCACGCCCCCGCAUGUUACAAACGGACUGAAAUGUGGAUCAACUACAAGAACAAAGAUGGAAAGCUCAUAAAGAAGAGUUUACAUAAAAACGCAGUGUAUGAAGAUAUUAUCGGACUCGAACCCGGUACCAACUACACCAUACAGCUGAUAACUCAGUAUGCAGAGGUGAUGAGUGAACCAGUGAACUUUUUACUUGUAACUCAGUCUGACCCAGUAUCCAGUGGUCUUAGUGGCGGCUCAGCUGCUGGGGUCUCUUUUGGAGUAUUACUCUUAAUUGCCUUUGUCCUACUGAUUGUCGGAUUUCUAAUGUGGCGACAAGGGCGAAUCCAAACGGUGGGACAGGUCCUGCGGUUCGAUAGGUUGGAUCAUUUGAUACAGGUCGUGACACAUAAUGAAGGGGAGGCUUCUACUCCAGCAGCGGGCAGCAAGGUUAAGAGACAGCCAACAGUCUCCCUUGCUGUUGGUAAUAGCACAUACUCUCCGGAUGAUGAAAUCUAUCUGUACGGAAGCAUGGCCUUCGAAGCGAAACAGUCGUGGUAUGUCUACCAUGACGAUCUGACGUUGGUAAAACUCAUCCACACAGGACGAUUUGCUAAAAUAUACACGGCCACGUGGAAGGGCGCUCCUAAAGACCACAAUGAGGUCAUUGCUAAGAUGGUCAAAGAUGAUCACACAGAAGAAGACGCUCUUAUCAUGAUGGCAAAGAUCAACUUUCAAGCCACCGAAGUUGGAGAGCAUCCAAACAUCUUGCGAUUCUUCGGAGCUGUUGUGGACAAUGAUGAAUGUAGUGGGUCCCAUAAUUAUUUUGGAGUACUGCGAGACUGGACAGCUUGACCAAUGGUUGACCAAACAGCAAGGCAAGACAACAGAUGACACCAUCGAGAAGAUGCAGAGGAUUGCCAUGGAGAUCGCGCAGGCCAUGGAGUACCUUACGUCACGAGGGAUCGUACACAAGAAGCUUGCAGCAAGAAAUGUGCUUCUAACCUUCAUUCUUCAAGCGAAGGUCACAGGAUUUGGGCCUCAACGAGGAGAUGACGCGGAAGAAGAUGAAAACUCGAAAGGG
rnacentral:misc_RNA from 1 species